GAUGAAGAACGUAGCGAAAUGCGAUAAGUAAUGUGAAUUGCAGAAUUCAGUGAAUCAUCGAAUCUUUGAACGCACAUUGCUCCCGCCAGUAUUCUGGCGGGCAUGCCUGUUCGAGCGUCAUUUCCACCAUCAGGCCCCCGGGCCUGUGUUGGGGACCUGCGGCUGCCCGCAGGCCCCGAAAUUCAGUGGCGGUCGCGCCGUAGCAACCGAGCGUAGUAACUAAAACGUCUCGCUCUGGCUCGCUGGGCGCGCUCCGGCCGUAAAACACCCCCCCUUUUCGCAAAGGUUGACCUCGGAUCAGGUAGGAAUACCCGCUGAACUUAAGCAUAUCAAUAAGCGGAGG
rnacentral:misc_RNA from 1 species